UGGGUAACCUGGAUAAGCUCCUUUACCAAAAGCACCUGUACAAGCUGAAACGGCUUCUAACGGCGCACUAGCUGGUCCUUGAUAAUAACCGUUAUUAAAAGGAUUUGUAACGGUUCCAGCUAAAACCGAAGCCAAAUUAAUAACCAUACCGUCAACUCCAACAUCACCGUUAGGUGCAACUAAUGGUGGUGUUUGUGGACCAUAAAUCGGUUGAUGAAAUGGCCAAGCACAUUGACCAGGACAUUGACUCACUGAGUUACCAACCCAAGCAUAAGCAAACUUUGACCUUUUAGUAAUACCUAUAGCUGAACCAUGUGUUCCACACUUCAUACAAAACCCAUCAACAAAAACAUCUUUUGCUGUUAAAACAACAUUGAUUGAGUUUUUCACACCAGUUUUUGCAGCUAAGGAAAUGAUUUGAGAAAUUUUGAGAGAUUUUCCAAGGGAAUAGUUUUCAUCUAGAAUUUGUUUUCCAAGAACAAGGUUAGAAGAACCAGCUUUGUACUUUUCAGUAAUUUUCCACCAAGUGGAAACAGAAGGUGCAGAGGUUUUUUUGACAGAGUUUAAAGAUUGGAUGAAAUCAAUGAUUAUUGACCGUUGGAUUGGAGUGAACUUUCCAUACCAAAUGAGAUUUACAGUGAAAUCUCCUUUCAGUAGUACACCAUUAUGGUAUUGAAGAACUAAAGGUUGUUCUUUAACUAGCUCUGCUUUUGAUGAAUGUAUGAAAAAGAGCAAGAAGAUGGCACAAUAGUAAAUUGAAGCCAUUAAAAGGGUAACUGUGGAAAACUGUUGUACUAGAGAGAGAGAGAGAUCAGAGAAGAGAGAGUUUGAGACGUUGAGUUGAAGCUUUGGGUUUAAGGGAGGUUUUAUACUAGAAAAGAAACGAGUAGAUAUGAGUGAACACAGCUGUAUAGUAGGAAAUGUCAACAUCAAAUGACGCCACGUGGUUUUGACUGAUUGGACUUAGUAUUACACUAAAGAAGAGAACUUUGCCAGGCUGUGUUUUCUAGGGUGACGUGUUGUUCAAGCUAAGACUUCUGUCUGACGUGGAUCAGGUAAUUGAUUUCGACGUGCGUGUCAAAGAACCUACUAGGCUACCGCUUAAACAUAGACCAUAGAGUAAUUCCACUGUACUUCCUGACCUACAUAGCUUAAUAUGUAACUUUUAAUCCUGACCAUAAGAUGACGUAUUUGAGUGAUAUGAUUCUAUUUUAUUGUAAAGAAUUAAUGGUACAGAAUAUGAUGUGGUGUAGACCUGGGUCCACCUAUAAAAAUGACGUGGAUGGAGAAGAGUUCAGGGGUUGGAAUAUCGAGGGUAGUGCAUCAGACUUUUUGUUUAAUUUAAUUGACUUUAUUGGCGCAUGAUCAGUGCCAUUAGAUUAGAUUACUAUUUAUAAAAGUACCUUUGCAUCAAUUUAGUGACACUUACGUCACUUAAGAUUAUGACAACAAACAAAUUCAUAUGUAUUCAAUUUGAUGGCAUAAUCGUAAACAUGAGUACCAUAAUGGGACGGUGGGACUUGGGGAGGGGGAACUGGUGGUGGCGGUGAACGUGGCGGCAGUAGUGGACGAAGUGGUGGUUGACUGGUUGUUGUGGUGGUGGAACUUAGAAUCAUAAGUUGAAAAUUUCUCAAAACGGACACUAGAUUCGAGUUGAAAAGGUGGGCGGUGGAGUUGCUCCACGUGAGCAUUGUUGUUCACGUGGAAUUUAGAAACAAUUUCAAGGGCCAAGGUGGUGGAAUAGAGUGAAGGAGAAUGAAGACAAGAGGUAGGAUAAAGAAGGAAAGGAAACUAGACAAAGAAACAACAGUGCUCUCUAAUCUGCUUCACUGCAUGCAGAUUGACAGAAAGGACAGAGGUGAUGGUACUAGUAAAUAGUGAAAGUAGUACUAUAUGUACGUGUUGAGAAGAGCGUUGGUUUAGUGGGGUUAACUUGCUGCGCGCGAGUUCGCUUUGAUUUGAACAAAAUUGUUGGAUAAGUUUCAAUGGAUCACGUAUGUUAUGAUUGUACUAUUAAUAAGGUUAACGGUUUGGUGCUUUGCAGACUAGUUAGCUUAAUUCAACGGAAGGGUUGGGAUUAGAUACGACACGCAAAAGAUUUAAGUUAGGCACUAUGUAUAAACGUAUAAUUUGGUAACACCCUACUCACAAAACGGAGGUUCAAAACACAUUAACUGUUGAUUGUUGAUAUGAAUUUCUACAUGUAUUUUAAAGAGGUAGGGUCCUUUUAACCCGCGUGUCAGCGUGUCAAUCGAAAAUAAUAAAUUGUAUAAUUUGUCGUUUGGAGCAUAUGAAACAACAAUAAUAUUUACAAUGUGAUUUAUGAAUACAAAUCCUUAUUUGUUUUUUUCCUUGGUUGGCAAGCCUAGGCAACUCUUUAGGGUUUUUUUUACCAAAUUAAAUGGAUGUACAUAUUUCAUUACUAAUCCAAUGUUCGAGAUGAACAACGCCAUCAUCACUUAUAGGUUUUACCAGCUAAGUUCAGCUGGCAGCCGCAAAAAUCAAGAAUUUAAGUUUCUUUCAAGUACCGUUAGGGAGUAAUUAGAAUUGGUCGUACGUAUAGUUAUGGUAUUGACAUUGAUACAUGCACGAACGCUAGCUCCUUGUACAUAUCAUUGGCCACGGUAGUAAUGAAGGUGGUGGAGGGUUGCCUUCAUUCCUAACAAGAUUAUUUGGUAUUAUAUUGACAAAGAUUGUAGUUAGCCAGAAGGUAUAAAACCAAUAAUUGAUCAAGUAGAGGCCCGGGGCCGGGCCAAUUUGAUUGAUUUGAAGUUAAGUUUUUUAACUUUGAAGGAUAUUUGUGCUUCACAACUUUAUACGUCUCAGUCCCAAUUAAAUGAUCUUUGACUUCUGCUAUUGGCCUGUUUGGAAUUAUAACAAUGAUUUGCCUACUAAAACCAAAUACUAUUCAAAACCUCCAUGCCUGUGGCUGUGAGUACAGCUAAUUGCAUGGUCUAACUGUGCUGAAAACGAAGUCUCAACAACAGUUCUCAUACUUUCAUGUCACUCUUUAACAAAGUUGUUUUAACCUAACACUUUUAGAACCAACACUUUCUUCUUGUAUCGACUUUGGCCGACUUGUCGUAUAUAUAUUCGAUUAAGAUUAUGGCCAUAUGAUAUGCCCAUAUUCUUCACAAGGCCGCCAAUAGAUAUUUGUACCUACUUUCAACAUUUGAACUCUAUAUUGAUGAAGAGGCCAAGAAAAUACCACAGUGGGGCUCCAAGCCAAUGUUCUAUUGAUUAUUGAACCUUCACAAAAAUGUCAGAUUACUGAUGAGAUAAGAUCAUAAAUACACUGUGCUGGAGCUAGCCUAAAGACUAAAGAGUAUAAUUUAUUAGGGGUGGGCACGGUUCGGUUCGGUUCGGUUUUGGACAAAACUGUCAACCGAACACCUAGCAGGUGUUUUGCAAAAGUCUAAACCGAAACCGAACUUUUUUAUUUUUAAAACCGAACCGAACCGAACCGAAUACUUUUAACUAAAACCGAAACCGAACCGAACAUAUAAUUAAGUUCGGUUAACCGAAUAAAACCGAACCAAACCGAAAAACUGAUAUAUUUGAAAAAUCUGAAAAUCUGAAAAUCUGAAAUUGCCCAUUCAGUCAUAUUACAUCUGUUCACUGUUGGAUACUUGGAUAUUGGGCUGGACUCCUGGACAGAUGGGAUGGGUUGGACUAUGGAGAGAUGGGCUGUAGUGGGUUGUAUACAAAAUACAUGUUCGGUUCGAUUUUGGGUGUUCGGAAAUUUUUGAAACUACAACCGAACACCCAAAGCAGGUGUUUUGCCAAAUUAGAAACUGCAACCGAACAUGAAAACAUGUAAACACCCUAUUUUCGGUUCGGUUCGGAUCGGUUCGGUUCGGUUCGGUUUACAUGUUUCGGAUCGGUUUUGCCCACCCCUAUAAUUUAUAGAGAAAUUUUAAGUGUUUUUUUUUCAACAAAUUUUGGGCUAGUUGCUAAUAGAAUAAUAGAACUGGGUUUGAAAAACGAGUUUGAGUCUUUGAGGCUUUAGGUUUGGAAGUCAAUUGUAGUAAAAAAUACUUUACAGCUUUUCUCUUUCUUUAGGAUUGUUUAACAUAUCACUUGAUUGGUUUAGAUGCUUCAUAGAAGCACUCUAAUUAUCAAUUUAUCAUGAUUUUGACCAGAACACAAAAUCACUUGAUUUGUUUCAUCCAUAGUUCCAUACAAAAAGUGGAAGAGUAACAACCAAGAAAGGUUUGAAUAACAAGCAAAAUGCCACAUUGCUAUACACAUAGCCAGUGUGGUCGGUAGAGUGGAUGGUGGAUAGCUCCUUCCAUUUGCACAACUGUGUUACGCGUUAGUUUCACUCAAUGUGUCUUCUACCAGGUUGUUUGGGACUUUGGGUAUUUAGGAAAGUGCAAAAACCACUUUCGGUUUGACAUCACUUAAUAUACCUAGAAAUUUAUAGCAGAAUGUAACAUACUGUAACAGUGUAAUUCAGAUUGAAUGCUGUCAUGCUCUCCACAAACCCAUAAGAUAAAGAAUAGCCAUAAGACCUAAACAAAUUUCUGUUACACAACUAUCAUAUUAAGGUGACAUAAAUCAUUUAAAUUUUGAGGAAUGUUUGAUUAGACCGAAAUUGAAUCGGAACCAAUUUUGAACGUUUGUCUAAUCAUGGAACCCUGGCAAUUAAUUAUUAACCUCAACACAAGUAUAGAUAUAAGGUUCCUUAUAUGGACCAGUGGUUAAGUUGGGACAUAUAACACAUUGGUCGCUGACUCCCUGUAUUGCUGCCAUGUAAGUUUUUGACCGCUAUAUUUCUCAAGUCUCAACGUCAAAAUGCCGAAAUGCCUAAUGAUAAUAUUAUUUGUAUUAUAAGCCAGGAUUGAUGAGAACAUCCAAGAAUAACAUUGCCAAUGGCGCAGAAAUAUUGUUUUUCACCAAAAUUUGCGACAAAAUAUCCAUGUUUGGAGUCUGGAGAUCACAAGAAGAACCAAAUUUAGAAAGGCAAGGACCACAGUUUAUAAUUCCAAACAUUAAGGACCAAUAUCAAAAUUUAAUUCAUUGUUUGAUCUGUGCUGCUUAAAGAUUAAUUUGAAAAUGUAGUAGCUCAGCCUUCAAAUAAAUACAGAACAGCCUGCAGUCCUGCACCUAUGUGCAUUGAGUGUUAUUUUAUCUGUAGCUUGUAGGUGUAAUUGCUGAUUGCGAUGGUAGAUGACCAAAAUUGAAUGCACCAUUGCAAUUCAAAGUUUCAAACAAUUGGAAAGAUUAAAGUUUAAAGUCAAUGAACAAUGGAUUAAGCAUAAUCACAAAUGAUAUAAAAGCAAACCAAAGAAAUUUGCUACUUCAUUAUUAUUAUUAUUAUAAAAAGAAUGAAUAAAUUUGAGUAUACAUACUAUUUUCUCUCACAUUUUCUUAUCUAUCAUAUAAUCUCACUUCUAAGUUCUAAACCAAAGUGGAACAAGCAGAUAUGGAGGGAUCAAACAUAGCAGGCAGCAAGUACUUCCUGCCAUUAGCACCAUGUGCAUUGUAGCUAGCACCUGUAGUUGAAUCCAGUAAAAGGUCCCCAGCAUAACCAGGGUAAGCACCCUUUCCAUAAACACCCGGACAAGCUGAUGAGGCUUCAAGUGGUGCUUCUGCAGGUCCUUGAAAAUACCCAUUUCCAAAUGGAUUGGUAGCUGUUCCAGCUAAAAGACUAGCCAAAUUAAUAACCAUUCCAUCUAGACCAACAUCAUUGUUAGGUGCAACCAAUGGUGCACUUUGUGGUCCAUAAAUUGGUUGAUGAAAUGGCCAAGCACAUUGACCAGGACAUUGAACUUCAGAAUUUCCAACCCAGAUGUAAGCAAAUUUGUAACUUUUUCCUUUCAAAUGUGCAAUUUUAGAUGUAGAUGUUGAUGAACCAUGUGUUCCACAUCUACUUGAACAAAACCCAUCAACAAUAACAUCAGAAGCUGUCAGUACAACAUUGAUAGCAUUCAUUUGAUCACCUUUUGCUGCUAAUUUAACCAGUUGUUGACUAGUUAAUGAUUUCCCCAAUGAGUAAUUUUCAUCAAGAAUUUGUUUCCCUAUUGUAAGAUGAAGAGUAGAUUGUUUCUUAGAAGUAAGGUGAUAAUACUUUUCAGUAGUUUUCCACCAUGAUGAAACUGAAGGUGUUGUUGUUUGAGUAGUUUUUGAAGGAUAUAGAGAUUGAACAAAAUCAGAGAUAGUAGCUCUUUGGGAAGGCUUAAAUUUUCCAUACCAGAUUAGAUUGAUGGAAAUUUUACCAGAAAGAAGUGGACCUUUAUGAUAUUUCAAAAGGGUAGGUUGAUCUUCAACUAAUUCAGUGAGUUUUCUUCCAGCUAAAGAGACAUGAAAGAGUGAAACUAGAACAAGAAUUUGUAGAAAAAGAGCAGAAAUUGAAGAAAAUGCCAUUUUAACGAGAGAUCAAGAGAAAGGGUCGUAAAAAACAAUGAAAUUGUUUGUUUGUUUGUUGUUGUUGUGGUGUGUUUGAGAAUGUAGAGAAAGAGUGAUUUAUAUAGGAGGUGAAGAGUGAAGAUGUGGUGAAGCGUUAUGUUCAGCAAAGGAAACGAGUGAGAACCAACGCUACUACUUCCAACGCGUCUGUUUUAAUGAUUUUUUUUUUCUUUCUCUUUUGCUGUUAACAGCUAACAUAUUGUUUGCCAAAUACCAAUUGGAUUAACAACUUUUUUGCAAUUCACUCAAAUUUUCUUUGGUUUUUAGUCUAAAAAAUUACAUAAGUACAAAUCGACCCAGCUGCCCAGAUGUGGGCAGUUGAGCACCAAACAGUGUAUUGUUGUGAUUAUGUCAUCUGUCCCAAACAGGGAUCCAGGAUUUAAUUUUGGGUUGGACUUAGAUACAGUAAUCCAAAAUGGGUAGGGCUUGUGUACAAUAAUCUAUGAAAUUUUUUUGCGGUGGUGGGUUUGGGUAUAAAUAAAAGUACUAAUUUUUUAAAAUUUCACCUCGGGCUUCAGCCCGAUCAAGCCAACCUGUAGAUCCGUCCCUGGUCCCAAAGUGAAAUUUAUAGGUUAUUGUUGAACGGGCCCUAGGUCCUGGUCUAUAAGGCAUUGCACUAGAAGUGAAAACAAGGUUGCUCACUCAUUGGCAGGAGUGCGAAUUUUUUCCCGCACUCUUUAGGAGUGCGGAACAAUACUUUCCUCCAGAUUUUGCCACGUGGCUAUAUAAAAAAAUAAAAAAUUUUGAUUUUUUUUAAUAUUAAGUAAGAUUAAUUAAAAAACUAAAACACUAAGAUGGGUGUUGUUAACCUAGUGGGACUAGUUAAAUUUAAAAAAAAAAAAAUAUUAGUAGUACGUGGCAAAAUCUGGUGGAGAGUGUGGAACAAAUUCAACUCCUACAAUUUGGGCAAAACUUUCUGGUCAUGCUUAACUCUGGUUUCAUUCUGUUGAACUGUUAUCUUCUUUGUUAGCUAAUGAAAUUAGAGAUAAUUAGCGUUUGCCCCUCUUUUUUCAAAUUGUUUCCUGACCACCUCUCUUUUUAGCAUUUUUUUUACUAUAUUUUCUAUUUUACCCUUAAGCAUGUGUUCCAUAUUUGCCCCUCCCUUCUCAAAACCACACUAUUAUGUUGAGUCAGCAACCCAUAGUGGUUUCAUUACAAACCGUAGAUCUAAAACAACUACAAAUCAACGGCUAAGAUCUAAUCCAAUCUAAAUAUUUAAUUUCCCAAAAUUCAAAAAUCAAACCAACCAUUAGUUGCCACCUGGAUAUAACCGUUGCAACUCUUUUCUUCUUUAAAACCCUUUUUCCUCCCGAAUUCUACAUCUUUCUUAAUAGAGAAACCCUUCUUCCUCCUAAAUUUUUCACUUCUCUCUUUACUUCUUCUUUCCAAGCACUUUACUUAUCCUCUAACCUUAUAUCUUUUCACUUCACUUCUCUCUAGAAUACUUCAUCGAUCUACUUCACUGAAUAUGACGGUAUGUUCUAUUCUCUGCAAAAUGGGGCUAUCCCUAAACAAUUUUCUCUUCUAUGGGGUAUUCUUAAAACAAUGUGUUCUAUUUUUUGUACACGUUCAUUGUCAAAUGUGUAAGGUUAAGGGAUAUGAAGCUGAUAUGUGUAUGUGGGUGUUAAACUAGGGUUUAGUUGAGGAAGAAGUACAAUCCUUUUUAUGUGAAUUGGUGAAGUUAAACUACUUUACACAUGAUUUGAACAAUAGAUUUGCAUUUAGAUGGGCAUCGAGAUAGGCAUUAGAUUGGAUUAGAUCUUAGUCGUUGAUCUGUAGUUGUUUUACAUCUACGGUUUGUAAUAAAACCACUAUGGGUUGCUGACUCAGCAUAAUAGUGUGGUUUUGAAAAAAUAGGAGCAAACAUGAAACACAUCCUUAAGGGUAAAAUAGGAAAUAUAUUAGAAAUGAACUAAAAAGAGGGGUGGUCACGAAACAAUUUGAAAAAGAGGGGCAGUCGCAACCUUCAAUUUUAAAAAGAGGGGCAAUCGCUAAUUAUCUCAUGAAAUUACUAUUGCCUAAUAUAAGCAUGAACUUAUCAAAAAAAUAAAAAAUAAAAUAUAUAUAUAUAUAUAUAUAUAUAUAUAUAUAUAAUGUUUUUUUAUUUCAAUUGAUUUAUCACUUAGUUAAAAUCAAUAUAUUUAAACUAAAAAUAUUAGUUUUUUUUAUUGGGUUGCCCAUAAAUUAAAAUUCAACCAAUUUAUGUUAAAUUAUAAUAAAAGUAUAAAACCAUUAAAGGUGUUAUAUCAAUUUACGAUAAAACCAUAGUUCCAAGGGUAUUUUAGUCAGGUUGUUGGUAUAAAAAUUUAAAAUUAAAUUCUUAACGACUCAUAAUUGCCCUUGAAUUUUAUUGAGAGUUAUAAUAGGAGAAUAUAUCACAUUCUCACCCAAUUAUAUCAUAGUACACAAGGAUCAUACAUCAGCCAUGACAAGCAUACUCACACACUGGUUUAGCAAUGUAAUACUUAUUAUUGAGUUGACAGUACCAACAAUCAACUAUAGUUGGUCCAGACAUACAAGAUCGUUUUAAACAUGGUCUAAUAUAGAUUUUUGCGCUUGUCAUAGGUAUCGUCUUUGCUUCGCUUUGAUCUUUGAUGUCCAGAUUUUCUUGACCUGUAUAUCCAAAUGAGAUGUGAAAAAUAUAUCAUCUCAUUGACAAAGAGAAGUUUACUGCAUAUACCACUUUGAUCUAGACUUUAGUGCAUGUGUAGUUACUUGGGUACGAAACUCCGAAUUAAUUAUCUACUAAAAUACUUAACUACACCGAUAAAGAGUUUACUCUUUUUUUUUUUUCUUGCUAAGUAGUCGAUUAAAGUUUACUAUUCAAAUGUGAUAUUUGCAAUAAAGAAAAUAAAAAAAGAUGAUCCUCAAAUAAAGAGAAAAAAGGAAAAAGACAUUUGCAAAUAAGUAUACCUAAACAUGAGUCUCUAAUUAAACAUACCUUCCUGUAGAGCUGAGAUGUCAACAAUAACAAUCAGAAACAUAAAUAAAAUUAUAGAUAGCUUGGUAGAUGCCAUUGAUAUAAAGUUAUAAACAACAUACUAAGGAGAGUAAAAAGACUACUGUAUUUAUAAUCUCAAAAAUUGUAAUAAGAUUUCAUUUCAUUUAAUUUUGAAAUCUUUACAAAAUCUUAUUAAUUUUAAAUAAUAUCAAUUAACUUUUCAAUAAAAUAUAUUUUAUUUUCUAAACAAAAUUCCCUCACAAAUCUUCAUUAUGUUCCUAGGAAUCUAACUUUCUGUGGAUUGAUAACUAUAAAAUCAGGCCUACAUAUUAUUUUGGCACUUGGGGGGCAAGGAAGGCCUAAACCGCUAGAUACCCAGGAGGCUCUUUGAAGUUCCAACUGGUCAGUUGGAAUGGGAUUUGGUGUUACAUGAGUUUCUGUAUUGCACGUCGUAUGAUUCAGUGAAAUUUCAUUAAAGUCAUAUUUUUCAAAUAUGAUCAAAAAAAGUUACUAAACAAUAAAAAAAAACACUCAAAAAGCACAAUUAUUUGUAAUGCAAACUUGGAAAAUUUUAAUAUGAAAGCAAACCAAAGAAAUUUGCAAUUUCAUUAAAAGAAUGAAUCAAUUGUCUUUUCUCUAAUAAAUAGUUACUAGUACUACUUGUAAUACAAUAUAAUGUCUCUAAAGUUUCUGUAUCUAUACCAAAGUGGAACAAGAAGAUGUGGAUGGAUCAAACAUAGCAGGCAACAAGUACUUCCUUCCAUUAGCACCAUGUGCAUUAUAACUAGCACCAGUAACUGAGUCCACUAAAAGGUCUCCAGCAUAACCAGGAUAAGCACCCUUUGCAUAAACACCAGGACAAGCUGAUGAAGCUUCAAGUGGUGCUUCUGCAGGUCCUUGAAAAUACCCAUUUCCAAAUGGAUUGGUAGCUGUUCCAGCUAAAAGACUAGCCAAAUUAAUAACCAUUCCAUCUAGACCAACAUCAUUGUUAGGUGCAACCAAUGGUGCACUUUGUGGUCCAUAAAUUGGUUGAUGAAAUGGCCAAGCACAUUGACCAGGACAUUGAAC
rnacentral:lncRNA from 1 species